rfam:Schistosoma haematobium scaffold772_4, whole genome shotgun sequence.
UAGCUUAAUUGGUUAGGGCGCCGUACUUAUAACGCGGAGGUUGAGAGUUCGAGCCUCUU